GACGAACCGUCCUAACGUUGUUCGGAAUCACUGGGCUUAAAGGGCGCGUAGGCGGCUUGCCAAGUCAGGGGUGAAAUCCUGCAGCUUAACUGUAGAAGGGCCUUUGAUACUGGCGAGCUCGAGGGAGGUAGGGGUAUGUGGAACUUCCGGUGGAGCGGUGAAAUGCGUUGAUAUCGGAAGGAACGCCGGUGGCGAAAGCGACGUACUGGACCUCUUCUGACGCUGAGGCGCGAAGGCUAGGGGAGCAAACGGG
rnacentral:rRNA from 1 species